rnacentral:rRNA from 1 species
AAGUGCUCCGCCUGGGGAGUAUGGCCGCAAGGCUGAAACUCAAAGGAAUUGACGGGGGCUCACACAAGCGGUGGAGGAUGUGGCUUAACUCGAGGCUACGCGAAGAACCUUAUCCUAGACUUGACAUGCUUAAGAAUCUUCUGGAAACAGAGGAGUGCCCUUCGGGGAGCUUUUGCACAGGUGCUGCAUGGCUGUCGUCAGCUCGUGUCGUGAGAUGUUGGGUUAAGUCCCUUAACGAGCGAAACCCUUAUCUUUAGUUGCCAGCGGGUAAUGCCGGGGACUCUAAAGAGACUGCCGGUGUCAAACCGGAGGAAGGUGGGGAUGACGUCAAGUCCUCAUGGCCCUUAUGUUUAGGGCUGCACACGUCCUACAAUGGUACGUACAAAGGGAAGCAAAGUCGCGAGGCCAAGCUAAUCCCAAAAAGCGUGCCUCAGUUCGGAUUGUAGGCUGCAAUUCGCCUACAUGAAGCUGGAAUCGCUAGUAAUCGCGGGU